UGGGGAAUUUUGGACAAUGGGGGAAACCCUGAUCCAGCCAUCCCGCGUGUGCGAUGAAGGCCUUCGGGUUGUAAAGCACUUUUGGCAGGAAAGAAACGUCAUGGGUUAAUACCCCGUGAAACUGACGGUACCUGCAGAAUAAGCACCGGCUAACUACGUGCCAGCAGCCGCGGUAAUACGUAGGGUGCAAGCGUUAAUCGGAAUUACUGGGCGUAAAGCGUGCGCAGGCGGUUCGGAAAGAAAGAUGUGAAAUCCCAGAGCUCAACUUUGGAACUGCAUUUUUAACUACCGGGCUAGAGUGUGUCAGAGGGAGGUGGAAUUCCGCGUGUAGCAGUGAAAUGCGUAGAUUUGCGGAGGAACACCGAUGGCGAAGGCAGCCUCCUGGGAUAACACUGACGCUCAUGCACGAAAGCGUGGGGAGCAAACAGG
rnacentral:rRNA from 1 species